GAUUAGCCUGCGUCCGAUUAGCUAGUUGGUGGGGUAAGGGCCUACCAAGGCGACGAUCGGUAGCUGGUCUGAGAGGAUGACCAGCCACACUGGAACUGAGACACGGUCCAGACUCCUACGGGAGGCAGCAGUGGGGAAUAUUGGACAAUGGGGGCAACCCUGAUCCAGCAAUGCCGCGUGUGUGAAGAAGGCCUGAGGGUUGUAAAGCACUUUCAGUGGGGAGGAGGGUUGAUAGGUUAAGAGCUGAUUAACUGGACGUUACCCACAGAAGAAGCACCGGCUAACUCCGUGCCAGCAGCCGCGGUAAUACGGAGGGUGCGAGCGUUAAUCGGAAUUAUUGGGCGUAAAGGGCGCGUAGGUGGUUGAUUAAGUUAUCUGUGAAAUUCCUGGGCUUAACCUGGGACGGUCAGAUAAUACUGGUUGACUCGAGUAUGGGAGAGGGUAGUGGAAUUUCCGGUGUAGCGGUGAAAUGCGUAGAGAUCGGAAGGAACACCAGUGGCGAAGGCGGCUACCUGGCCUAAUACUGACACUGAGGCACGAAAGCGUGGGGAGCAAACAGGAUUAGAUACCCUGGUAGUCCACGCUGUAAACGAUGUCAACUAGCUGUUGG
rnacentral:rRNA from 1 species